rnacentral:rRNA from 1 species
AGCAGCCGCGGUAAUUCCAGCUCCAAUAGCGUAUAUUAAAGUUGUUGCAGUUAAAAAGCUCGUAGUUGAAUUUCGGGGUCGGUAGGUUGGUCGUGCCACUGGUAUGCACUGGUCUCACUGAUUCCUCCUUCCUGAUGAACCGUAAUGCCAUUAAUUUGGUGUUGCGGGGAAUCAGGACUGUUACUUUGAAAAAUUAGAGUGUUUAAAGCAGGCUCGCGCUUGAAUACAUUAGCAUGGAAUAGUGAAAUAGGACGUUUGAUCCUAUUUUGUUGGUUUCUAGGAUUGACGUAAUGAUUAAUAGGGAUAGUUGGGGGCAUUAGUAUUCAAUUGUCAGAGGUGAAAUUCUUGGAUUUAUUGAAGACUAACUACUGCGA